UGGGCUAGACAACGACGGUCCCCGAAGGGAAAACCCCAUCUCUGGGGUGGGCCGUCGUUGUCUAGCCCAGGUAAGGUUCUUCGCGUUGCGUCGAAUUGAACCACAUGCUCCACCGCUUGUGCGGGCCCCCGUCAAUUCCUUUGAGUUUUAACCUUGCGGCCGUAGUCCCCAGGCGGAGCACUUAAUGCGUUAGCGGCGGCACCGCAGGGGUCAAUACCCGCGACACCUAGUGCUCAUCGUUUACAGCGUGGACUAC
rnacentral:misc_RNA from 1 species